GGGGCAAGGGUGGGGGAGAGGAGAAGCAGGGGGUGGGGCCCCAGGGUGAUGGGGAAGCAGUGUGGGGGACCCAAAAGUUCUUUGUGCCAAGGGCCCCAAUAAAUCUUAAUUCACCUCUGCCGCCCCUGUGUGACACCCGCUGGGGGAGGGGGUGGCCAGGAUGCUGGGAUCUUCCCCCAAGCAGGGCUGGUCUGUCUAGGAUCUGACCCCAGAUCCCCCCCAGGCAGAACCCCGCCCCAGGCACCUGACUCCUUGACUCUUCUCUACAGGUUUGUCCACCCGGAUGAGAUAGGCGGGCCCAGAGGCUGGUCUCCCCAAGGCGCAGACCCCUCCCUGGAUAUGAAGAGUGACCCCCUUCUUCCCCCGUCCCAUGCUGCAUAGCCGUAGCACUUAGCCUAGACCAGGCCCCCACGCUCUGAUCGCAGCCUGCAGAAUCUGAUCCAGCCAGCAGGGGGCAAUAGGGACACACACACCCAACAGGUCUGAUCUCCUCCAACAGGGGGCAGUAGGGACACACACACACACACACACACACACACACACACACACACACACACGAGGACAUACACACACGCGCA